CAACCACAUCAUGUUGAAACAUUGGUCCCUGUACGAUCACCAAAGUUAAGCAAUGUUGAGCCUGGUCGGUACCUAGAUGGGUGACCACUUGGGAA